GUCAUUGUGUGGGAAAUGAGGAAGAGAGAACUAUUUAUGUUAUGCUGAUCUCUUUGGGAUGGGAAGUUCUACCCAGAUUCAUUAACCUUCUUUUAACUCACCAGCAAUUAUCAAGGUCCACAAGGACACCCUUUUGUGAAAUAAAUAUAAGAAAAGGGAUUUUAAGAAUGCCACAUUUCAGCUGGCCCAUAGUGGACCAGUGGCGCUGAAUAUGGGCCCAUUAGGUAUGGCGAGCUUGCCGCAAUCCCAAAUGGAAUCCUCCAUGGAAUCUUUUGUUUGGGGGCAUAUUUGUAAUUAGGACCCACUGCGGUUUUCCCCUUCAGUUUCUCACCCUCUUUGCAGCGGGGCAGACUGAUGGGCUUAAGAGGGUGAGGGGAUCCACCAUUUUGACUUGUCAACAAUGGAGGAAAAGCACCAGAAAGCUCCUUUUCACAAAAAGAAGCAUGAUUUUUGCAUUGGCACACUGCGCUUAUAUCGAUAUAUAAAAAUUUGAUCACUGUUUGUUCAGCGUCAAAUCACUGAUUCACUUCUGUGGCGGGAAGGGACAGGGGAGUAACGAUGGCACGCCAACUGCAAAGGGACAACAUGAGCCGCCUUUUCCCAAGCUCUCCAGAUUCCUGAUUGUCCCUUCCCCGAUGUGCCAGAGAAGCCAUGGCAUUUAAUAUCCGUAGAUGGAAGGAGUCGGCAACAGCAUGGGGUCAAGGGGGAAGCCAUAGUAGGACAUCUCGAGGGAGUGGGAGGGGUGAAGCUAGGUAGGCUGGCCAUAGGCAGAGGAAAGAUCCAUGGAGCAAAGCUGUGCUCACUGGCAAAUCUGCCCCGCUCUGGCCAAAGGACAUUAAGUUGUGCCACAAGUGGUCUCGCUGUGGGGAGAAUGGAGAGUGAAAGCGAGGCUCAGGGAAGUACGUCUGUAUAAAAAAUCUUGCUGCGACUGACAUUUGCUCCCAGUUCAUUGCAGAUCCCUCAUACAUAAUCAACCACUGUGUACAUUGUUUGCUGAUAGAGACGCACAACCUUAAUUAUAAAAAAAAAUUCUCUAACCCCUGAAAAUCUAGCAGUAUGAACCCAAGAAAGAGGCAGUAUUCUGCCCCUUCAUUUAAUUAGGAUCGAGACCGAUCCUUCUGACUUCCAUUGUUUCAGCUGAUGAGGUAAAUGGCUGCUGUGAUCAACGCACUCUUCUAGAAAGCCGUACUAUCAUCUGAAGAAUGACUGAGCAAAUCCAAACAUGAGAUUAUGGUCCAGUGAAAGGAGAUGGUUUCUGUGCUUCUUCCCCAACUUUUUAUGAUGGAUGCCAGAAGCAGACACAAAGCUAAUUGAUAGACAAAGCUAUGUGUGUUUGAUUUGCAUAAUUAGCAGGAAGUGUGCAGGAUGUGCCAAUCAGGUUGCCCGGAAUUUGGGGAAGAACUGGAAUAUUGCAACCUUAUCCGGUAGAAGUUUGCCUUUCCCUGAACAGCCAUUCAUCCUUCCUUUGGGCAGCCCGUCUCAGCUUGAAAACCCAAGGUUUUAUGGUGCAAUAUAACUCAGCCUGAUUCACUGCUGUUUCAUUUUUGACAUUUUGCUCCCAGGAAAGUAUUUGCGACAUCCGGAAAAGCUCGCUGUGCAACUUCAGCUCACUGGCAAACCAGGUUCUUUUCAUUCUUCCAUCUAAUUUUCCACCUGCAGAUAUAAUCUUAGUGCAGUGUUGAGGGGGGGUGAUCCUGAAGUGGGCUCCGUUGUCCUGAUGCAACAAGACAGGUUGCUCCAAGAUUGUGAUUCAUUUGGCUUUUGCGGGGCUGAAUGUGGCAUAGCUGGCAGACAAACCUACCAUUGCAUACGGGGCUCUGGAUGGGGACUGCAUCUCUGAGGCCUUGGAUAAGGGCACUGGAAAAACUCAAGGCAGGGAUUUUCACCACAACUUGGCAUUAAGUACACAGGUUUUUUUAAUAAGAAAGAAAGAAAGAAAGAAAGAAAGAAAGAAAGAAAGAAAGAAAGAGGGGAAAGCAAG